rnacentral:rRNA from 1 species
UAGUGGCGAACGGGUGAGUAACACGUGGGCAAUCUGCCCUGCACUCUGGGACAAGCCCUGGAAACGGGGUCUAAUACCGGAUACAACCACUGACCGCAUGGUCGGGUGGUGGAAAGCUCCGGCGGUGCAGGAUGAGCCCGCGGCCUAUCAGCUUGUUGGUGAGGUAAUGGCUCACCAAGGCGACGACGGGUAGCCGGCCUGAGAGGGCGACCGGCCACACUGGGACUGAGACACGGCCCAGACUCCUACGGGAGGCAGCAGUGGGGAAUAUUGCACAAUGGGCGCAAGCCUGAUGCAGCGACGCCGCGUGAGGGAUGACGGCCUUCGGGUUGUAAACCUCUUUCAGCAGGGAAGAAGCGAAAGUGACGGUACCUGCAGAAGAAGCGCCGGCUAACUACGUGCCAGCAGCCGCGGUAAUACGUAGGGCGCAAGCGUUGUCCGGAAUUAUUGGGCGUAAAGAGCUCGUAGGCGGCUUGUCGCGUCGGUUGUGAAAGCCCGGGGCUUAACCCCGGGUCUGCAGUCGAUACGGGCAGGCUAGAGUUCGGUAGGGGAGAUCGGAAUUCCU